CACGGGGGGGAGCAAGCGUUGUUCGGAAUCACUGGGCGUAAAGGGAGUCUAGGCGGUCAGGUAAGUGGGAUGUGAAAUCCCUCGGCUCACCCGAGGACCUGCAUCCCAAACUGUCCGGCUUGAGUAUGGGAGAGGAUGAGGGAAUUCCUGGUGUAGCGGUGAAAUGCGUAGAUAUCAGGAGGAACACCGGUGGCGAAGGCGCUCAUCUGGCCCAAUACUGACGCUGGAAGCUCGAAAGCUACGGGAGCAAAUGGG
rnacentral:rRNA from 1 species